AGCGUGAGUGAUGAAAACAUGACCUUAGGUUUGUCUUUUUGAGCCGUCUUGGUUCAAAGUUCUAGACCUACCAAUGUUAGGACUUGUCAUAGUUACACUGACCCGCU
ensembl:snoRNA